UUGAUCCUGGCUCAGGAUGAACGCGAGCGGGAGGCUUAACACAUGCAAGUCGAGGGGCAUCACGAGGUAGCAAUACUUUGGUGGCGACCGGCGCACGGGUGAGUAACGCGUAUGCAACCUGCCUAUUACAGGAGGAUAGCUUCCGGAAACGGAAAUUAAUACUCCAUAAAGUUUUAAUAAGGCAUCUUAUAAAAAUCAAAGCUCCGGCGGUAAUAGAUGGGCAUGCGUAACAUUAGCUAGUUGGUAAGGUAACGGCUUACCAAGGCAACGAUGUUUAGGGGUCCUGAGAGGGUAACCCCCCACACUGGUACUGAGACACGGACCAGACUCCUACGGGAGGCAGCAGUGAGGAAUAUUGGUCAAUGGGCGCAAGCCUGAACCAGCCAUCCCGCGUGCAGGAAGACGGCCCUAUGGGUUGUAAACUGCUUUUCUGAGGGAAGAAUAGUUUUGAUUCGUUCAAGACAUGACGGUACCUCAGGAAUAAGCAUCGGCUAACUCCGUGCCAGCAGCCGCGGUAAUACGGAGGAUGCAAGCGUUAUCCGGAUUUAUUGGGUUUAAAGGGUGCGUAGGCGGACCUGUAAGUCAGUGGUGAAAUCCUGCAGCUUAACUGUAGCAUUGCCAUUGAAACUGUAGGUCUUGAGUUAGGUUGAGGUAGGCGGAAUGUGUAAUGUAGCGGUGAAAUGCUUAGAUAUUACACAGAACACCGAUUGCGUAGGCAGCUUACUGGACCUUAACUGACGCUGAGGCACGAAAGCGUGGGGAGCGAACAGGAUUAGAUACCCUGGUAGUCCACGCCGUAAACUAUGAUUACUCGUUGUUGGCAAUACACAGUCAGCGACCAAGCGAAAGCGAUAAGUAAUCCACCUGGGGAGUACGCUCGCAAGAGUGAAACUCAAAGGAAUUGACGGGGGCCCGCACAAGCGGUGGAACAUGUGGUUUAAUUCGAUGAUACGCGAGGAACCUUACCUGGGCUUAAAUGUAGACUGCAUAGUGUGGAAACGCACUUUUCUUUCGAGACUGUUUACAAGGUGCUGCAUGGUUGUCGUCAGCUCGUGCCGUGAGGUGUCGGGUUAAGUCCCAUAACGAGCGCAACCCUUAUCGUUAGUUGCCAUCGGUUUAAGCCGGGGACUCUAGCGAAACUGCCACCGUAAGGUGAGAGGAAGGUGGGGAUGACGUCAAAUCAGCACGGCCCUUAUGUCCAGGGCUACACACGUGUUACAAUGGCCAGAACAAAGGGCAGCUACCUGGUGACAGGAUGCUAAUCUCUAAAACUGGUCCAAGUUCGGAUCGAAGUCUGCAACUCGACUUCGUGAAGCUGGAAUCGCUAGUAAUCGCGCAUCAGCCAUGGCGCGGUGAAUACGUUCCCGGGCAUUGUACACACCACCCGUCAAGCCAUGGAAGCUGGGGGUGCAUGAAGUCAGUAACCGCAAGGAGCGGCACUAGGGUAAAACUAGUGACUGGGGCUAAGUCGU
rnacentral:rRNA from 1 species